rnacentral:lncRNA from 10 species
CCCGCCUUGGCCUCCCAAAGUGUUGGGAUUACAGACAUGGGCCACCGUGCCCCACCAGCCUUCAUGUAUUCUGAUGGGCGGGGGGAGACAGUGGGACCAGUGAGCCAGGAGUCCUGAGGCCACCAGGCAAACUUGGUGUCACCCUCAAGUCAUUGGAUGGUUUCUCUUUCUCUGUGUCUGUUCAGUGAUUUCCAUUCAAAUGGUUACUCUGUGUUGCCUCCAGAAGCCUCAAAGCUUAGUGUGGCUGUCCUCUAUAUGCAUCAUGUCCAUGCCUGCAGUUUGUACCUCUCACAGCCUCUUCCUUCUGGGUCCCAGGUCCUUGCUCUUCUUCUGGGGUUAGAUGUCAAUUGUUUAUUCGGUCUCAUCGUUGCCCCAUCGCGUCUGCACAUCAAGGAGACAGGGGCCAUCUCUGGAGUCUCUCUGGGCCUGCCUUUUGUGAAGGGGAGAGCACAGAUGCAGACCAAGGCCAGACUCACUUCCAGUUGAGAAAUGGGACAAAUGGGACAGAUAAAAUCUACAUCACCCACCAAGAUCCUGUCUGAAACCUUAUUUCAUUCCUACUAGUUAGCAAAUGCCUUUAGCUCAUCAUUGAUUGCUCACAAAAGGAGCAAAUCCAGAAGAAUGUGUAUGCCCAGUAUACAGGCUAACUUCAUGCUGAUCUCAACAUUCUAAUGCUCACGAGGCUCAGUUACUGAGCAUUUUCACCACACCAAUCUGAUAAGGUUUAUAAUGUACAGACUUAUUGGUAUUUAAAUCUCAUAACAUCCCUAUGAGGCAGGAAUGCUAUAAUCCCCAUUUUACAGAUAAUAAGCCUGAGUCACUGAUAUAACUUGUUCACAGGUAUUCAGUCAGGGCUGGGAUUUGGACCUAUGCAGGCUGAUUCCACAGUGGACUCUUAACCAUUACUACAUAUUCUUUUUUUUUUUUUUUUUUUUUUGAGAUGGAGUUUCGCUCUUGUUGCCCAGGCUGGAUGGAGUGCAAUGGCGCGAUCUCAGCUCACCGCAAACUCUGCCUCCCAGGUUCAAGCAAUUCUCCUGCCUCAGCCUCCCGAGUAGCUGGAAUUACAG